rnacentral:rRNA from 2 species
AAAAUGGAGAGUUUGAUCCUGGCUCAGGAUGAACGCUGGCGGUAUGCUUAACACAUGCAAGUCGAACGGUCUCUUCGGAGAUAGUGGCGGACGGGU